rnacentral:lncRNA from 1 species
CUAUCUGGCUUUGAAUAACUCUCCAACCAGAGACAACUCUAUCCAGAGGUAAAGACCAGGCUCUCAGGGUCUGAGCUGAGAGCAGUAGGUUACAAGAGGGUGAAGCUAAAAUUCAGAAGGCAUUGGCAUCCAACGCAGUGCCUCCAAAGCCAGAGAGAGGCCAGGGCAACACAACCCCCCCAGAGGCCUCUUACCUUCUCUUCAGGGCUCAUGUAAGUAAUUCUCCCCAAUAGAGUUUGUCUCUUCUUUGUAUUUGUCUUCUAAGGCCCAUGCCCAGGGAGCAGGGAGGCUGAUGCUGUGGCUGGGCAGGUC